rnacentral:piRNA from 1 species
UGGCAGCUGUGCUAUGUGGUCUAUGCAGAU